rnacentral:rRNA from 1 species
AGAGUUUGAUCCCGGCUCAGGAUUAACGCUGGCGGUGUGCUUUAUGCAUGCAAGUCGUACGGUCUUUUUCUUCGGAGUUAGACAGUGGCGAACGGGUGAGUAACACAUAAGUAAUCUACCCCUAAGUGGGGAAUAACCCCGGGAAACCGAGGUUAAUACCGCAUGUGAUGGUGAGAUGUUGGUCUCGCUAUUAAAGCCGUAAGGCGCUUGGGGAGGAGCUUGUGUCCGAUUAGCUAGUUGGUGGGGUAAAGGCUCACCAAGGUUAUGAUCGGUAGCUGGUCUGAGAGGACGAGCAGCCACACUGGGACUGAGACACGGCCUAGACUCCUACGGGAGGCAGCAGCAAGGAAUAUUGGGCAAUGGGCGAAAGCCUGACCCAGCGACACCGCGUGGGGGAAGACGGCUCUUGGGUUGUAAACCCCUUUUCUCAGGGAAGAAUAAUGACGGUACCUGAGGAAUAAGUCUCGGCUAACUACGUGCCAGCAGCCGCGGUAAUACGUAGGAGGCAAGCGUUAUUCGGAUUUACUGGGCGUAAAGCGGGCGUAGGUGGCUUUUCAAGUCGGGUGUAAAAUCUCCUCGCUCAACGGGGAGGGAUCAUUCGAUACUGUUGAGCUAGAGGGCAGCAGAGGGAAGCGGAAUUCCCGGUGUAGCGGUGAUAUGCGUAGAUAUCGGGAAGGGCACCAGUGGCGAAGGCGGCUUCCUGGGCUGUUUCUGACACUGAGGCCCGAAAGCGUGGGGAGCGAACAGGAUUAGAUACCCUGGUAGUCCACGCCGUAAACGAUGGACACUAGGUAUGGGGAGUAUCGACCCUCUCUGUGCCGUAGCUAACGCGUUAGGUGUCCCGCCUGGGGAGUACGGCCGCAAGGCUAAAACUCAAAGGAAUUGACGGGGGCCCGCACAAGCAGCGGAGCGUGUGGUUUAAUUCGAUCAACACGAAGAACCUUACCAAGGCUUGACAUGUAGGAAGUAGAAAUCCGAAAGGAGGACGACCUGCAAAGUCAGGGACCUAUACAGGUGCUGCAUGGCUGUCGUCAGCUCGUGCCGUGAGGUGUUAGGUUAAGUCCUGCAACGAGCGCAACCCCUGUCGUCAGUUGUUUUUUCUGGCGAGACCGCCCUGAAAACGGGGAGGAAGGUGGGGAUGACGUCAAGUCAGCAUGGCCCUUACGCCUUGGGCUACACACGCUACAAUGGGUGGUACAAUAGGUUGCAAUAGAGUGAUCUGGAGCCAAUCCUAAAAGCCAUCCUCAGUUCGGAUUGCAGGCUGAAACUCGCCUGCAUGAAGUUGGAGUUGCUAGUAACUGCAGGUCAGCAUACUGCGGUGAAUACGUUCUCGGGCCUUGUACACACCGCCCGUCACGUCAUGAAAGUCGGUAACACCUGAAGUCGAUGAGCCAACCCGCAAGGGAGGCAGUCGCCGAAGGUGGGACUGAUAAUUGGGACGAAGUCGUAACAAGGUA